rnacentral:rRNA from 1 species
UACGAAGGGGGCUAGCGUUGCUCGGAAUCACUGGGCGUAAAGCGCACGUAGGCGGAUUCUUAAGUCGGUGGUGAAAGCCUGGAGCUCAACUCCAGAACUGCCUUCGAUACUGAGAGUCUUGAGUUCGGGAGAGGUGAGUGGAACUGCGAGUGUAGAGGUGAAAUUCGUAGAUAUUCGCAAGAACAUCAGUGGCGAAGGCGGCUCACUGGCCCGAUACUGACGCUGAGGUGCGAAAGCGUGGGUAGCAAACGGG